UCAGAUGGAGAUGCUCUCCUGCACUCAGGUGGUCACACAGGUGACACAGGUGGCCCAGGUGACAUCAGAUGGAGAUGCUCUCCUGCACGCAGGUGGUCACACAGGUGGCCCAGGUGGCCCAGGUGGCCCAGGUGCCAUCAGAUGGAGAUGCUCUCCUGCACGCAGGUGACACAGGUGACA